UAACUGGUUGAUCCUGCCAGUAGUCAUAUGCUUGUCUCAAAGAUUAAGCCAUGCAUGUCUAAGUAUAACCUUUAUACGGUGAAACUGCAGACGGCUCAUUACAACAGUGAUAAACUAAAGAACUUUCGCGCUUCGGCGUCUUGGAUAACCGCAGUAAAUCGGGGCUAAUACAUGUAAACGAGAGGAUGAGCAGGUAACUGCGAGUCUUUGCGAUUGUUAGCUUUCAUUCACACCAACCUCUUCGGAGUUUGUGGUGAGUCCGAACAAUAUUGCUGAUCGGAAACUUGUUUCCGACGAGUUCUUUGUGUCACUGCCCUAUCAACUUUCGAUGGUAAGGUAUUGGCUUACCAUGGUUGUAACGGGUGACGGGGAAUCAGGGUUCGAUUCCGGAGAGGGAGCCUGAGAAAUGGCUACCACUUCUACGGAAGGCAGCAGGCGCGCAAAUUACUCAAUCCCAAUACGGGGAAGUAGUGACAAAAAAUACUAAUGCCUUUCCAUUUAUAUGGGGGGCAAUUGGAAUAAGUACAACUUAAAUCGCUUAGCAAAAGUGAUUGG
rnacentral:ncRNA from 1 species